ACCCGCACAAGCGGUGGAUGAUGUGGAUUAAUUCGAUGCAACGCGAAAACCUUACCUACCCUUGACAUGUCCGGAAUCCCGAAGAGAUUUGGGAGUGCUCGCAAGAGAGCCGGAACACAGGUGCUGCAUGGCUGUCGUCAGCUCGUGUCGUGAGAUGUUGGGUUAAGUCCCGCAACGAGCGCAACCCUUAUCAUUAGUUACCAGCGAGUCAUGUCGGGGACUCUAAUGAGACUGCCGGUGACAAACCGGAGGAAGGUGGGGAUGACGUCAAGUCCUCAUGGCCCUUAUGGGUAGGGCUUCACACGUCAUACAAUGGUCGGUACAGAGGGUUGCCAAGCCGCGAGGCGGAGCCAAUCCCACAAAGCCGAUCGUAGUCCGGAUUGUUCUCUGCAACUCGAGAGCAUGAAGUCGGAAUCGCUAGUAAUCGCAGGUCAGCAUACUGCGGUGAAUACGUUCCCGGGUCUU
rnacentral:rRNA from 1 species